AAAAAACAACAAUGACUUUCAGCAUCAUCUUCAUCUGGACGCUCACAGUGUUUGCUCAAGAGUGUAGAGGACAGUACACUGUUACUCAGAGUCCAUCAACAACAGCAGUUCAACCAGGACAACAUGUUCAAAUAAAGUGUAAAGUCAGCAGUGGAGUAUACACAGAUAGCCAUGGUCCCCGAAUGAGCUGGUACUUACAGAAAUCUGGAGAAGCUCCUAAACUCCUCAUAUAUCUCGCAACAAGCCUCUAUUCUGGAACUCCAUCUAGAUUCAGUGGCAGUGGAUCAAACACAGAUUUUACUCUGAGCAUCAGUGGAGUUCAGACUGAAGAUACAGGAGAUUAUUACUGUCAGAGUUUACACAGUGGCAGUAGCUGGGUGUUGACACAGUGAUAAAGACUCGAACAAAAACCUCCGUCAGUCAGACUGAACAGUGACUGCACUGACACACUUCACACAUACUGCAGCUGCUCAUACAAAACACACACACACACACACACGCACAGGCAAACACAUGUUGGGUUUCCAUGUUUUAUGGGGACAUUCCAUAGACGCAAUGGUUUUUACAAACUGUAUAUCAUAUUCCCUAGCCCUAACCCACCCCCUAACCCUAAAAGUCACACACAACUGUCUGCUCUUUUAGAGUUUCAAAAAAGUUAAUUCUGUAUGAUUUAUAAGCUUGUUUCCUCAUGUUGACCAAAAAAUGUCCAUUUUGUCCUCAUACCGUAGGGUUUACCCUUACACCCCCCCCCCCACACACACACACACGCACGCACACGCACGCACGCACACACACACACACACACACACACACACACACACGCACACGCACACACACGCACACAUGCGCGCACGCACAGACUUUGGUUGACUAUCCCCGUGGGGACAGUCCAUAGGCGUAAUGUUUUUUAUACUGUACAAACUGUAUAUUCUAUCCCCUAUCCCUAACCCUAUCCCUAAACCUAAAGAUCAUAGAACACUUUUUGCAUUUUUAGAUUUUAAAAAAAUUGUUCUGUACAAUUUAUAAGCUUUUGUGCCCAUGAGGACCUCAAUUUUAAUCCCCACAUUGACACGAGUCCCCAUGUGUUGGUGUGUAUUCAGGUUUAGGUCCCCACCGGGAUAUACAAACAUGAACGACUAAACAGACGUAUGUUUUUUUUCAGUAAGUGUGUGUCUCAGUUUUUUAACUCAUAUAAAAGUGCUAGACAACAGAUGUAAUGAUGAUCAGAUGAACCCACAGCAGCGGAUCAGUAUCACAAAAUAUGUCCAGAAAAUUCAAUGAUUACACCAGUGCAAAGAAAAACUUUAUAUUUUUUAUCAUUUGGCCAGAAUAAUUCAUUUGUUAAAUUCAAAA